rnacentral:sRNA from 1 species
AUGCUGAGCUUCCCAUCAAUGCCGGUGACUACGUCCUGGUGUAUGGAGAAAUGGAUGAGGAUGGUUUCUUUGACGGGGAACUCCUUGAUGGCAGGAGGGGGUCUUGUGCCUUCAAACUUCAUUGAAAAAGUUGCAGAUGAAGACCUAUCUGAGUUCCAUGCGGCCAUGUCGGACGCUAAUCACCAUGACGACGACAGCAUCAUUGGUAACAGCAUCCAGCAAGAUCUGGACUAUGACAGCAGUGAGGAAAUGGGGGGCAAGGACACCAAACAGAAGACACUAGAAAUGAAGAGUACUCCCGACAAACUGUCACCCCUCAUCAACCAAAACAACAGUCGGUCCAACAGCCGUCCAGCUAGUGAUCAUAGCAGUGAUAUAGACGACCUUGACCUCCUGGACAGCAGCAAAGUGUUGACCUCUGUCAAGAUUCAGAGUCAACCUGUGGACACAUUACUGCCGUGUCCGCGAGAGCUCACCCUGGAGCGUCAGCUGACCAACAGUAUUGUCAUCAGCUGGAAACCCCCCCUCAACCACGCCCAGCUCGAUGUCAAGUCUUACCAUGUGUACGCUGACGGAGUGUUCAAAUCACUGGUCCGCAAAAACGAGAGGACGAAAGCUCUUCUAGAAAAUAUGGAUUCCAAGGAGGUUCACAGAGUCAGUGUAAGGUGUAACUCAAACCUGGGACAAUCAGCAGACAGCCAGUGUACCAUGCUGGUCGGAAAAGAUGCCGUUCCUGCUCCUAGCGACCUGAAAGUUAGCGAAAUAACCUCUAACUCCGCCCAAAUCUCGUGGUUACCGGGUAACAGUAACUAUAGCCACACCCUAAGUGUUAACGGACAGGAUGUACAAGUAGUGAAGCCAGGGCUUUGUGUUCAUACGUUAACAGGGCUGGCUCCUGCCAUGGAACACAAAGUGACAGUGACUGCUGACAGUCUGUCAAACAGCAGACAGGAGAAACUGUCAGCAUUUGUCAUCUUCAAGACACCAUCAGGAGGUGUUCCAGAGCCGCCACUGAAUGUCCAGGUGGAGGCGGGGCCCCAGGAGGGGACGCUACUGCUGACCUGGAUACCGGUCACCAUCGACUCCUCGGGGUUCUCCAACGGUGCAGUGGUAACUGGUUAUGUGGUUUUUGCUGAUGGUAGGAGAGUCAAAGAGGCCCAGGGUCCUACAAAUGACCACAUCAUUCUGAGUGCAGAUGAUUUCCAGGGCUUUAUUCCAAAGCAGCUGUUGGUGCGCACAGUAACGGCUGACAAGACCGAGUCCUCAAACUCGGACUCGAUCAAGCUCCCUCAGGCUCUUAUCCAGGAAAUCACUGAUGGUGCUGCCAAAAACGUCACAAAGGACUCUCCUGUCAAACAACCUGUCAAGAACUCUAUGCCCCUAAAUUCAAUUGUUCCCGACAUAUCGGAGGGAGAUGAGGACAUUGAUGCCGUCAUAAACCGCAUUGCUGCAGAAGCAGAGCGCAACAUGAGUCCAGUGCUUGACAAUAUAGAGUACGGGGAUGAUUUUAUCGAGGGUAGCAGCACCUCGGAGCUUUCUGACAUCCCAGAGGAGGUGGAGGAGGAGGUUUUGGAGGAGGCCACCGAUCAGGGGCCGCCUCCCAGUAAGCUCAGCCCACAGCUGCUAAACGGUCACACCCCACUCAGCAAGAAUACAGGCGCCAAGUCCCAUACAACAUCCACCCCUCACAAAUCCAAUGAGACUUCACCCAAACCGAGGUCAUCGCCAAGGAUACCAGCAAUUGAAAUUACAAGAGACAGUGGAAGUGAAAGGGGAAAUUCUGUGGAUAUAUCGGAGGAGGAGUUAGACGUUUCUAAAUCGCCUGUGAAACACAAACGAACAGACCAUCAUAGUUCAAAAGGACACUCACGAAAUAUAUCGCCGGUCUCCCCAGGGGCGAGUGUGUCUCCAAGUGAGGAAAUUGUGGCCAAUGGCAGACAUUCAAGGCAUUCCCGUGAGAAUUCCCCACAAAGGGAUGGUCAUGUGACUAGUGAAUUGCAAUACAAGAACGAGAAAAACACUUCAAAUCAUGUGUUACCUCCAGACCCUCGGAGGAGGCUUUAUCCAGAGAGCCAUGCCUCCAAUAAGAAUGAGACUUCGCCACCUCAUGAUCAGAGACCGGUCAAGCCUCAAAGGAGGAGUCCCAGGCACGGAGGAAGUCCGCGGAAUAGUCCACACAGGGUUAGUCCUCAGAGGGACUCUAGUCCUCACAGGGACUUGGCGGACAGUAAGACUUACAGUGACUCAAAUGCUAACGAUGUGUCCCUGGCAUCGACGGUUUCUGACGGUCGACUGGACAAUAGCGGAGUGCAUCAUGUCCCCCAACUAGACUUAUCAGAUUGUGACGACAGUGGAGAUGUGGACUCGAUCAGUGGAGAGAUCAAUCCGCCGAUCGAGGAUAAUCGAAUCCGUUUGUUUGUGGCCUUGUUUGAUUAUGACCCUGAGAGUAUGUCACCAAAUGUUGAAUGUUUGGAUGAGGAACUCCCUUUUAAAGAGGGGCAAAUUAUCAAGAUUUACGGAGACAAGGAUGCCGACGGGUUUUACCGUGGGGAGUGUAACGGUCGGGUUGGCUUUGUCCCGUGUAACAUGGUGUCCGAGGUCCAGGUGGAAGACACGGAACUCGCGGAACAGCUCCUGAAGGAGAGCCAGACCGGAUUCAAUCCCAGCAUGCAGCUCUCCAAUAACUACAUGAAACCAGCUGACCUGGGGUCAAGGGUCAGUCCAGCCAAAGUCUCCACGGUAACUUCCAGUGCACAGAUGAGGAAGAUGGUGGCACUUUAUGACUAUGAUCCUCAGGAGCUUUCACCAAAUGUUGAUGCUGAGGUGGAGCUGGCCUUCAGAAGUGGCGACACGAUCACAAUUUAUGGUGACAUGGAUGAUGACGGAUUCUUCAUGGGCGAGUUCAACGGGCGGCGCGGACUGGUUCCCUCCAACUUCCUGCAGGAGGCCCCGCUGAGCGACGACGAAGUCCUGGAGAGCGCCAGUGUUAUCUCCCCUGCCAGGUCAGGCGAGAGUCUCAGUAAUUUGUCUCGGAACUCUGACCUCACAGCGGACAAAUACAGUACCAGUCAUGGACGAAAUCGUCACUCUGCUUUGUCGGAGGAAACUAAUGCUCUUGCCGGGAAUAUACUGUCAUAUAUGGCCACUCAUGAAAUUUUAUUCUUCUUUUUGACAGAGAUAUCGGAAAAAGUGACGCAGAAAAUGGGACCUGGCUCACAAUUGGACCAACAGUUAUCACAUGAUUCAAUGAACUCUGUAGCCAAUCAGAGCCAUCUUUACUCAACACUGCAGCCAACAUCCCCCGAGGACGCCAAGCAGAAAAAGAAGAGUUCCAGCAUUCUCUCCAAGGGCAAAAACAUUUUCAAAAAACUUACGAGAUGAUGAAAAAAUCUUGCCUUUUGAUUGGCUGUCAGUGAAGUUCAUGUCCAGUCUCACGAGUUCAUCUAGUCCAUUAGAAAGAUGAGUGUGGGAUUGUGUAUAUUGCACAAACAUAUGUGAAUUCAUUUAUAAGAGUCAAGAGGUUGUUCAGAACAAGUGCCAUUUUCUUAACAUUUUCUUCAAUGUUAUGCUUAGUUAAUGAAAUGUAUUCUAGGUUGAAAACAUUGGGAUGAAUUUGUCUCAGGUAUAGUGAAUAUUUUUCUUCUUCUCCCUAUCUCAGCCAGUAGUUUCGUUGCUUGAUUAGGAAACAGAUAUUACAGACUGGUCGUAUUCAUUGUGAUUUCAAUUUCCAAUCAUCCACAUCAUCAUCACAAGUCGUUUGCCACAGGUGACAGAACAAUUAUGUAGUAUGUGAUUGGUUUAUGUACAAACAAUUUUCUGCAUUGGAUUGAAAGGGAACUGUGUUUCUUGAUAAUAGCCAAAGAGAGACAUUUUCCAAAGGGAAAGAACUCUGGAGUUUCUUGCCAAUGUAGAAUGUCCGUGUGAAUGUCUUCAUUUAAUCAAAAUAUGCUGCCAUAAUAUUUUUGUUACAUCCUAAAAGCAGUUGUGUUGUUAAGAUGUUCAUAGUGAUGUUAGCAAGUGCAUGUAAUAUAGAUUUUUUUUACGUGUGUUUUUUGUUAAAUUGCGAAUUGUCUGUGAUAUGAAGCAGUUAGUUAAUUAUAGAAAUAGAGUCUUUGUAUCUGGAGAAGAAAUGUACAUUCCAACAAAUCUUAUUAAAAUUACUGCAUUCCAAAGAUUAUGAUUUGUUACAGAAAAGUCGGAAAAUUUAUUUGUUUGUAAGAAAAUUAUUGAAUGGAAAAGUCUGUAACUUAUAUGUUCAUUAAUGUCACACAAUUGGAAAGUUGCUAUAGGAAAAUCUGUUACACAAUAAUAUAGAGGUUGCUUGUGUUUUGGACGUGUACAUUUCUCCAUGAGAAAGUGCUGCUUUUGGAACCACUAUCAUGUGAUAGGUGCUAUACGAUGUGUUGUGAUAGUCGAGUAAUCCAAUUUGUGCCUAUCCCCCCUCCCCAUGAUCAAUUCAAAUUGAUCAACAUGAUCAAUUCAAAACUUGAUCAUGUUGGGGAAAACAUUUUUCAGCUGCAUGAUUUCAUAUGCUAGUAUGUCAGUUAAAGGACUCAGUGUUUUGAAUUUAUAGAGAGAUUUAAUUCUGUUAUUUCUUAUUUUUGACAAAUGCUAGCAUUGUUCCUUUCAGUGCACAGAGGGUUAAUUAAGCUGAUUUUUUAAAUUUCCAUGAAAUAUAAUUUAGAGAAAGAAAAGUAUCAAGCUUAUAUUUGAAGUAGAAUCUCGUGAGAGAGUAUGUUCAUCUCAGCAGAAGUUGUGAAGACUUUUCAAACAAAAUUUAUUCCUAUGGAAUUUGAUUGACACAUGCCGUUCAUUUUAGAAAGCCAUUUUGCGAUAUUAGUACCUGUCUUCAGACAGAACUUAUUUAUUAAGCAGAUAGAUAUUUGUAUGAUAUUGUAUAACUUACAAACUUCCAAUGUAUUUAUUGUUAAUUUGUUUUUUGUAUGAAUUAGGACCAUAUGUGAUGUGAUUUCAGAUUAAAUUAUAUUUUGUAAAAAUACACACAUGAAAUGAG